UUCUGGAACGAGCUCUCUUGCAUGUGGCUUGCACUAGUUUAUCUUGCGACAACUCGUUGAUUACGAAAAGGAAACAAAAAAUAAAUUCUCUAGAAGUUUUAGUUAGCCCUAGGAAUGGCAACUGGUGCAGCACAUGAUGGCAUCGGCAAAGAAUUACACUGUAUGCAAUGGUGGUCAUUACCAAGUGCGUUCAACUUGUGGUCUCCSUGGACAUUUGACUUUGAUGCCUUUUCAAAUCAUGAAACUACAGCAAAUCAGGAACACCAACAGCCUCAAGAAUCUGGUGAAGAUCAGCAAAUGAACCAGGCAACAGAUUCAUCUUGAAUGCAAAUGCAAUGAAUUGAGUGCAGUUUGUAAAUAAUCUUAUGUAUUCCUUUAUUUGUAUUAAAAAUGAGAAAAAGAAAAAUAAGUCCAAAAAAAUGCUAAAAAUCAGUAGUCAUUAAAYCCAUUAAAGUGUGAUACUCAAAUAUGAUACAAAAUAAAACAAUUUAGUAAGAGCGUACCAACAUGUAUUUGUGUAAUAUCUAUUUCACUGGUUUUUGACUUUCACUUGCAGUAAAUAUUGUAGUAAAAAUUAUAUAAAAAGCAAUAUAAAGCACAAUAAAGGAAAAAUUAGUAUCCUAAUGAAAAGAAAUUAUUAUUUGUGUUAUUGUUAUACCACUGAAUGUGAGGGAUCUGUAGUUUUAGAAAACAGAAACAUAGAAUAAAAAUGCAAGGACUAUUAGUCCUUGAA